rnacentral:rRNA from 1 species
UUGGAGGGCAAGUCUGGUGCCAGCAGCCGCGGUAAUUCCAGCUCCAAUAGCGUAUAUUAAAGUUGUUGCAGUUAAAAAGCUCGUAGUUGAAUUUCGGGGUCAGUAGGUUGGUCAUGCCACUGGUAUGUACUGGUCUCACUGAUUCCUCCUUCCUGAUGAGCCGUAAUGCCAUUAAUUUGGUGUUGCGGGGAAUCUGGACUGUUACUUUGAAAAAAUUAGGGUGUUUAAAGCAGGCUAACGCCUGAAUACAUUAGCAUGGAAUAAUGAAAUAGGACGUUCGAUCCUAUUUUGUUGGUUUCUAGGAUUGACGUAAUGAUUAAUAGGGAUAGUUGGGGGCAUUAGUAUUCAAUUGUCAGAGGUGAAAUUCUUGGAUUUAUUGAAGACUAACUACUGCGAAAGCAUUUGCCAAGGAUGUGUUCGUUAAUCAAGAACGAAAGUUAGGGGAUCGAAGACGAUCAGAUACCGUCGUAGUCUUAACCAUAAACUAUGCCGACUAGGGAUCGGACGAUGUUAAUUUUUUAAUGACUCGUUCGGCGCCUUACGGGAAAC